rnacentral:rRNA from 1 species
CACGUAGGGGGCGAGCGUUGUCCGGAUUUACUGGGCGUAAAGAGCUCGUAGGUGGCUUAGUAAGUCGGGUGUGAAACCUCCAGGCUCAACCUGGAGACGCCACCCGAUACUGCUAUAGCUUGAGUCCGGUAGGGGAGCGUGGAAUUCCUGGUGUAGCGGUGAAAUGCGCAGAUAUCAGGAGGAACACCAGCGGCGAAGGCGGCGCUCUGGGCCGGUACUGACACUGAGGAGCGAAAGCGUGGGGAGCAAACAGG